AGCGGGUAUUGAGAAAUGGCGUCUCGCUAGGCUCAUAACCUAGACAACAGGUGGUUCGAAUCCAUCGCCCGCUACCA
rnacentral:tRNA from 1 species